GCCCGGGUGGCGAAAAUCGGUAGACGCAAGGGACUUAAAAUCCCUCGGCCGCGAGGCCGUGCCGGUUCGACUCCGGCCCCGGGCACAA
rnacentral:tRNA from 1 species